CAGCAGCCGCGGUAAUACCGGCGGCCCGAGUGGCGGUCACUAUUAUUGGGCUUAAAGCGUCCGUAGCCGGGUUGGGAAGUCCUCCGGGAAACCUGGCCGCUUAACGGUCAGAAUGCCGGAGGAUACUCCCAGCCUAGGGAGCGGGAGAGGCCGAGGGUAUUCCCGGGGUAGGGGGGAAAUCCUAUAAUCCCGGGAGGACCACCUGUGGCGAAGGCGCUCGGCUGGAACGCGUCCGACGGUGAGGGACGAAGGCCAGGGGAGCAAACCGGAUUAGAUACCCGGGUAGUCCUGGCUGUAAACGAUGCGGACUUUGUGUCGGACAAGCUAUGAGCUUGUCCGGUGCCGGAGGGAAACCGUUAAGUCCGCCGCCUGGGGAGUACGGCCGCAAGGCUGAAACUUAAAGGAAUUGGCGGG
rnacentral:rRNA from 1 species